rnacentral:rRNA from 1 species
AUGCAGCCAACAUACCAGCCGCCAAUGAACGGCCAGCACGCGCCUCAGCCGCAGGCCUCUGGGGCUCCGCCGCCUCCUCUGCAGCAGCCCCCCCCGCCGCCGCAGUACUACCAGGCGCCGCCGCAGUACUACCAGCAGGGACCCCCGCCGGCUAUGUGGGGCCAUCCGCAGCAGCAUAUGCCUCCGCAGUACGCGCCCCCGCCGCCGCAGUACGCGCCUCAGCCUCCUCAGCAGUACGCGCCGCCGCCGCAGCAUUACGCGCCGCCGCCGCCGCAGUACGGAGCGCAGAUGGCUGGCGGGCCGCCUUCCGGAGGCGAGGAUAUCAGGUCGCUGUGGAUCGGAGAUCUCCAGUACUGGAUGGAUGAGACCUACCUCUACAACGCCUUUGCUCCUGUGGGGCCGCAGCAGGUCACCUCAGUGAAAAUCAUCCGCAACAAACAUACUGGGCAGCCCGAGGGUUAUGGUUUUAUUGAAUUUCAAUCUCGAGCUGCUGCGGAAUAUGCUCUGGGGACCUUUAAUGGGCAGAUGAUGCCUAAUGUUGAACAAGUUUUUAAGCUAAACUGGGCUUCUUGUAGUGCUGGUGACAAGCGGGGUGACGAUGGUUCUGAUCACACAAUAUUUGUUGGUGAUUUGGCUGCUGAUGUUACUGACGCCAUGUUGGAAGAGAUAUUCAAAGCCACCUACCCAUCAGUUAAAGGUGCUAAUGUUGUUACUGACAGGGCCACUGGUCGCUCCAAAGGAUAUGGUUUUGUACGCUUUGGAGAUCUAAAUGAGCAGACACGUGCUAUGACUGAGAUGAAUGGAGUGCCAUUGUCUACAAGACAAAUGAGGAUUGGGCCUGCAGCUAACAAGAAGAAUAUAGGUACUCAGCAGACAUAUUCAACUAAUGCAGGGUACCAGAGCUCUCAAGUAAAUGAGGCGGCGAAUGAUCCCAACAAUACUACAAUCUUUGUGGGCGGGUUAGAUUCCAAUAUAGAUGAGAACUAUCUAAGGCAAGUUUUUACUCCAUAUGGCGAAGUUGGUUAUGUGAAGAUUCCUGUAGGCAAGCGUUGUGGAUUUGUCCAAUUUACCAGCAGGGCGUGCGCUGAGCAGGCCAUCAGUGCGCUGAAUGGGUCUCAGAUUGGUAGUUCCAAUGUUCGCCUUUCAUGGGGCCGUAGCCAAAACAAACAGCCUCCCCAGCAGGAUGCAAACCAGGGUAAUGGCAACAGCUACUAUGGAUAUCAACAGGGUCCUGAUGCAUACUAUGGUGCACCCAAUGCGCAAGAUCCUAGCAUGCAAAACUAUGGAUACUCUGGUUAUGGCAGUUACGAGCAGCAACAGCAGCCAUCUCAGCAGCAGCAACCUCCACAGCAGCAGCCACCACAGCAGCAACAGCAGCAGCCCCCACAGCAGUGA